rnacentral:piRNA from 1 species
GCCUAGCCCCCAAUACCAGACACUGCC